rnacentral:rRNA from 1 species
AUUGAACGCUGGCGGCAUGCUUUACACAUGCAAGUCGAACGGCAGCACGAAAGAGCUUGCUCUUUUGGUGGCGAGUGGCGAACGGGUGAGUAAUGCAUCGGAACGUACCGAGUAAUGGGGGAUAACUAUCCGAAAGGAUAGCUAAUACCGCAUACGCUUUGAGAAGGAAAGUGGGGGCUCUUCGGACCUCACGUUAUUCGAGCGGCCGAUGUCUGAUUAGCUAGUUGGUGGGGUAAAGGCCUACCAAGGCGACGAUCAGUAGCGGGUCUGAGAGGAUGAUCCGCCACACUGGGACUGAGACACGGCCCAGACUCCUACGGGAGGCAGCAGUGGGGAAUUUUGGACAAUGGGCGCAAGCCUGAUCCAGCCAUGCCGCGUGUCUGAAGAAGGCCUUCGGGUUGUAAAGGACUUUUGUUAGGGAAGAAAAGGAUAGUGUUAAUACCAU